rnacentral:misc_RNA from 1 species
AAGUCGUAACAAGGUUUCCGUAGGUGAACCUGCGGAAGGAUCAUUACCAAUUUAAUCCAAAUCUCAACCCAUGUGAACGAUGAAUGUUUGUCCUUGGGGUGACGGUCUGCUUUCCUUUGGAAAUAGUCUAGUCACCCCAAAAUUGUUAACAAAAUCCUUUGUAUUUUAUCAUGGCAUCUGUCUUACUUAAAAUAACAGUAUGACAACUUUUAACGGUGGAUCUCUUGGCUCGUG